rnacentral:lncRNA from 1 species
UCUAUAUACAAAUUUACUUCAAAAAGGACGAUUUUUCGUUUCCUAAUAUUUUUUUUCAAACGUUGACCUUUUUUUGAUUCCUCAAACACAUCUAACGAAUGGAAAACUACUCAUAUGUCUACCUCUUAUGCCGAAAUGAUUGAAUAAAAUGAUAUGUAUCUCCACUCGUUAUCGACAUGUUUUCGGAAAUUGUUAUUUUAGAUAGCAGAAUAGUCUUUUGAUCUGUAUUUUUUUUUUACUAUUGUGUCGUAUUUCAAAUUUUACCAAUUUGUUUGUUUAGGUUGGCUUCUAUAUAUGUAAGCGUUUUUUUGGUUCACUUCAGUGUUCCUAUUGUUCGUUUAUUUUCCUCUAAUAGUUGAUGUGUUUCUUUCGGUUUUUAGUUUGUUACCCGGAUAUUCCGCUCAAUUGAUUUAUGACCUUAGCACACCGGUAUUCUAAUUUUGCCUUCAUUACGCGUGACAUAUGGUGCAUUCAUAAUAAGAGACGCUUAACCUGUUCACGAAUAUGUUCUUGCACCUUGAGUUCUUGUGAUUUCAGAUUUCAUGCGAUUUAAUAUCAAUAAAUUC